rnacentral:rRNA from 1 species
GGUGAACGCUGGCGGUAGGCCUAACACAUGCAAGUCGAACGGCAGCACAGUAAGAGCUUGCUCUUACGGGUGGCGAGUGGCGGACGGGUGAGGAAUACAUCGGAAUCUACUUUUUCGUGGGGGAUAACGUAGGGAAACUUACGCUAAUACCGCAUACGACCUACGGGUGAAAGCAGGGGAUCUUCGGACCUUGCGCGAUUGAAUGAGCCGAUGUCGGAUUAGCUAGUUGGCGGGGUAAAGGCCCACCAAGGCGACGAUCCGUAGCUGGUCUGAGAGGAUGAUCAGCCACACUGGAACUGAGACACGGUCCAGACUCCUACGGGAGGCAGCAGUGGGGAAUAUUGGACAAUGGGCGCAAGCCUGAUCCAGCCAUACCGCGUGGGUGAAGAAGGCCUUCGGGUUGUAAAGCCCUUUUGUUGGGAAAGAAAAGCAGCAGGUUAAUACCCCGCCGUUCUGACGGUACCCAAAGAAUAAGCACCGGCUAACUUCGUG